GACGUAGGGCGCGAGCGUUGUCCGGAUUUAUUGGGCGUAAAGAGCUCGUAGGCGGCCGGUUGCGUCUGCUGUGAAAUCCCGGGGCUUAACCCCGGGCGUGCAGUGGAUACGGGCCGGCUGGAGGCAGGCAGGGGAGAAUGGAAUUCCCGGUGUAGCGGUGAAAUGCGCAGAUAUCGGGAGGAACACCAGUGGCGAAGGCGGUUGCCUGGGGCUUUGCUGACGCUGAUGCGCGAAAGCGUGGGGAGCGAUCCGG
rnacentral:rRNA from 1 species